GGGGAAUAUUGCACAAUGGGCGAAAGCCUGAUGCAGCGACGCCGCGUGAGGGAUGGAGGCCUUCGGGUUGUAAACCUCUUUCGCUCAUGGUCAAGCCGCAACUUGGGUUGUGGUGAGGGUAGUGGGUAAAGAAGCGCCGGCUAACUACGUGCCAGCAGCCGCGGUAAUACGUAGGGCGCGAGCGUUGUCCGGAAUUAUUGGGCGUAAAGGGCUUGUAGGCGGUUGGUCGCGUCUGCCGUGAAAUCCUCUGGCUUAACUGGGGGCGUGCGGUGGGUACGGGCUGACUUGAGUGCGGUAGGGGAGACUGGAACUCCUGGUGUAGCGGUGGAAUGCGCAGAUAUCAGGAAGAACACCGGUGGCGAAGGCGGGUCUCUGGGCCGUUACUGACGCUGAGGAGCGAAAGCGUGGGGAGCGAACAGGAUUAGAUACCCUGGUAGUCCACGCUGUAAACGUUGGGCACUAGGUGUGGGGGCCACCCGUGGUUUCUGCGCCGUAGCUAACGCUUUAAGUGCCCCGCCUGGGGAGUACGGCCGCAAGGCUA
rnacentral:rRNA from 1 species